rnacentral:misc_RNA from 1 species
GUGUAGAAUUCUACUAGAAUGUUCUACAUUUCUUCCUAUUAAACCAAACGGCUAACAUAAAUGAUUUUUUUUUAAUGAUUAAUGUCAAUAAUUGACAUCUGUCAUCGGUAACGUCUGUCAGUCCGUCAGCUGUGUUUUUGCUGUUUUGGCGUGUACGGUGUGAUAUUUUGAAUAAUUUUGAUAAACAACAGUUUUGAAAAAAAAAGACUCACAAUUAAAAUGUUUAAUGUAUUUAGCCGAAAAUAGUGUUGAGUUUAUACGCAAUAUAACAUAAUGAGCAAUAUGCACUUGCUAGAACAACUAGUUUCCUAUAAAUAUCACUAGUUGCUUCAUUAACUGGUGACGAUGGGGUCAACUGAAAAGAAGACAUAUUGUCGGCUGUGCCUCUGCAAGAUUUCGGGUGAGAAUGUCUUGUUAAAUGGGUUUGAGAAGGACAUGCUGGAGGUCAUUCUGCCUGAACUGAACAUUACAAUAUGUAGCCAACCAUCAAUGUGUAAACCCUGUACAGAAACAUUAAGGCAACUAUAUGGUUUUAAGUCAAUAUGUUUGGAAGUAGAAGAUAAAGUACAGGGAUUUGUAAACCCAAAGACUUCUUCAUUUGUUGAUCUUAAUGAGGUUGUAAAAAAGACUGUCAGAUGCAAUAUCUCAGGAAAGUUAAGUGUAUGUAGGACCUGUUUAACAUUAAGUCAAGAAUCGGAACUUAGUAAAUUAGGUAACUCGGCAGGAGACCCAUUGCGGAACAUGGUGGAGAAGUGCCUACCUGAAAUGGGCCUUAAUAUUACUAAAGAACCGUCAAUCUGUUCACACUGUCUUGAACAAUUCGAGGAGCAGUUUAAUUUUAUUAUGCAAUGCUUAGACACUGAAUCAAAAAUAAAUUAUUACUGCGAAACCAAAAAUAUUUUAACCAAUGUAGAUCUGCAUAAUGUAUAUCAAUUUUCAAUUAGAAUGGAGGAGUCUGGAGAGAAUGGGAAACAAUAUGAGGAAAUACCCGGUAGUGAGGAGGUCAUUGAGAUUAGUCCAAGAAAAAGGCCGUCAAACAAUAUGAAACGGGAACAGAUUGUUGAUUUAACAAAAGACAAUUCUCCAGUGAAAAAAACCAAAAACCAUAUCCCCGAGAAAAAAACCAGACGUUCAAUGUUACAUGAGGCACCAGUCGAAGAAGUAACAUUUCAAAUGGCCAUUAACCAUAAAGGGGAACAAAUCAUUACGUCGGAAACGACCAAAAUCGUUCGAGAGAACGUCAGUGAUAGCGAGGAGUCUGUGAAGCGUGAGAGUGAGUUACUCAUGGUUAAAAAGGUGGUGAGCACCACUCGCUCCUCACCUCGCAGGAAUUCAAUUACCGCAAAUCAUAAAAUGAACGGGGUGGUGCAGAAACGAAAGUGGGAGUUUAAGGAUGACGAUUAUCAUAGCGAAGAUGACGGGUCAGCAAAGCCAAAACGACUCCUAACGCAAAAAUGCAAAUACUGCAAGUUCAAGACGAAGUUUAAAAGUCGCAUGAAAGCGCACAUGACCAGAUACCACAAGUCCGAACUGGAAGAGGAAAAAGCGGAAAUGAAACUGUUCAAGUGCAGGCAGUGCACCUUUAAAACCGAAUGCGAGAAGGCGUACCAAGACCAUAAGGCGGAACAUAAAAAGGAACGCGAGCGUCAGAGUUGCCCGCAUUGCGAGGCGACUUUUAUCAGGCCAGACUUUCUGACCAAACACAUCGCGACCCAUAAGGAGAACGAUAAAAACGAACCGUUUAUCCCGAAAACCGUUAAGAAAAAGAAAGUGAAACAACUAGCCAUCACCAGUACCAUGAGCAGACCGGGCAAUUCCCGCACCUCAUUCAUGAUGAACGGACGAUCUUUCAAAAUGUUCAAAUGCGGGGUGUGUCCGUACCAGACCAGAUUGAAGAGCAACUAUCACAAACACGUGUCGAUCCAUAAGACCGGCCAGACGGGCAUCACGGUGAACAAAUGCGCGAUUUGUCGCUUCGAGACUAUUCAUAAGGAAAAUUAUUUGAGUCACAUGGCGAAACAUAAGAACGAGCAAGCGGAUGUGGUGAGACGGUGUUUCUUGUGCUCGUUUCAACCGAAUAGCGAGCAGGAGUUGGCGAUGCACGUUAGUAAAGUGCAUAAGAGCGGUAGCGGAUGACGUAAGGGCAGCGGGAGCAAAGGUGGGGGAGGAACCUAAGAAGAAGUUUAUAUUAUCUUUGUGGGAAGGUAUAUGGGGACCAAAUCCACCAACAUCUGGACCUAAGCAUAAAAAGCCUCGAUUCUUAUUGUAAAUUUGAAAGGAGUGAUAAAAGUGUUAUUGUCAUUUUAUACUCAUACAUUUUAAUACUCUAGAGGAUUAGACAUUUUUAAUAAAUGAUUUUGGUACA